rnacentral:lncRNA from 10 species
AAUCAAUGCAGGAUCAGGCUGGAUGCUGCCUAUUGAAAUGGAUGUGGAAGCAGCUCUCAAGGUCAGGGCUGUGAGCUGGAAGCCUUCUCCACGUUGGUAACGACAUUAGGAGGCGGGGCCUUUGGGCAGUGAUGAGGUCGUGGGAAGAGGAUCCUCGUGAUGGAUGAGUGCCCUUAUGGAAGAGGCUUCAGGGAGCCUGUUGGCCCCUUCCGCCAAGUGAGGACACAUGUAAGGCACCAUCUGUGAGGAACAGGCCCUCACCAGACACCCAAUCUGCUGGCGGCCUGAUCUUGAUCUUGGACUUCCCAGCCUUCAGAACUGUGAGCAGGAAGUCUCUGUUCUUUAUAAAUUACCCACUCUAAGGUAUUUUUGUAAUGCAGCCCCAGUGGACUAAGACAGUCUUAUCACUGCUGAGUGUGCAGUGCCUCUUCCUGCUCUGGGCACAUAGUAGGUGCUCAUUAAAUGUUUGCUGAAUAAUGGAUGUGUGGGAAAAUUGAAGUAAUGAAAAGUCAGAGACCCUUUGGACGUUGUGUGGAGUUGGCUCUGUGUCUUCUGAGAUGUCAUUUUAAUCCUUUAUCACAGUGAGAUGGUUGUUGGAAUGCCCUGCAAAGCUCCACCGAUUCCAAAGGGAAUGAUCAGGAUGAUCAGCUCCUGGACUAAUGUCCAGGUACUGCUGCUGCUGUGGGGUUCUGGGAGACCUAAACAGGAGCAGCUUCCCUGCAAGAUUUUAUCUAAUAUUUGAAGACAGGGUGUGUCCAUGGGGUGCUUCAUCUGAAGAGGAGGAGUGUGAAGCCUCUCCCAGUGCACUUACUGAAUGGGAAAGACACCAGGAGAUUAAACAGCCACAUUCUCAUCCAUCAGGGCACAGUCUGGGUUCAGUAAAUGCUUUUCCCCCUUUCUUAGCUGUUUCCAUGAACCAGAACCAGC